AUAUCAGGAUCUAAAAGGAUUUGCCGGAAAAUCAGGUCCUGUUGGAGUGAGAGGCCUGCCUAUCAAGGCAAGUUGUUGGUAAUCUGUCAAAGCAAAUCCCCCCCUGACCAGGACCCCAACUACCUCCUGAUCCAGACUCUGCUGGACCCUUUGCACCAGGACCUGUGCUUGUUCAUAGAUCCACCAGAUGGCACUAAAGAACACCCGGCUACCACCUGCUUGGCGCUGUGGCUGUCCCAGCCGAACUUCACUAACGGGAUGUGUUACAUUGAUCCUAACCAGGGCAGCCCAGCUGAUGCCAUUCUGGUCUACUGUGACUUCACUGCAGCACCAAAGAGCUGUCUGUCCCCGCUCCAGCCUCAGUUUGAGUAUCCAGGACCGGAUGUAGUGCAGAUGAGGUUCCUUAGGUUAAACAGCAGGCUCACCAGUCAGAACAUUACCUACUCCUGCCAGCCUGAGACAGACAGGGAUCAGGGGAAAGAGAGGUGA
rnacentral:lncRNA from 1 species